UAUUGCUACUGUGUUCUUUAAUGUCACCACCACGUGGCAAUAUCAUCUCAAGAAAUGCUCUAGUGCUAUGCUCAGGUAAGGUAUCUCAAAGUCAUUAAGUUAACAUGCAUUACUGUAUCAACAAGAAUAAGCAAUGCACAUUCAUCAAACAUGAGCAUUUAUUUCAUGCACUAAAACAGAUUAAGCUAACUGAAUUUUUAUUCCCGUCUAUGAACAAUAAAUUACCAUCAAGAAAUGCUAUGUACGAAAAUGUAAUGAAUUGGCUGAAACAGAAUAAUACUGAAAAAAAGGUUUAAAAAAUGCACCCAUGCAAGGAACUAGAAGCAAUGAGAACAUCAGCCUGAUCGAAAAAGAUCAGAUAUUAUUGUGUGCCAAACAACACUACCACACGUAGCAAUCGCACAGAUGAUGAUCUGUGGCGUUUGAUGGCACAAGGGCCAUCAAACACUUCUUCCACGUGUUGCAAAGAGCGCCAUCAAAAAUGGCAAUGUUAGAUGAAGUGUUGAUGCCGUGGUCGAUGUGUUCUUCAUGGCAGAUGUGGCAUGGCAGUAAAAGGGCAUAAAGAAGUCUGUCGCUGCAAAUAGCAUAAAAGAUAAAGCUACUAAAAUAAUGACACUGACUAGUUAGUGACAUGGGGUAUUGCAACUGCAUUUCAUGAAAACAUAAUGUAACAAAUUUAGCUAUUUAGACUUUUUCGUAACAUUCUUUGUAUUGUUUUUUAAUCCCCUUACCGCCUUUCCACAGCACAUGCUAGCCAGCCGGUCUGAGAACUGGCUAACCCCCAUGCUGCAACACCACCACCACCAACUGGUUAACCUCCCUGUCUUUCAGUCUAUUCCUACUUUCUUCCUUCCUAAUGCGACAAAAUGUAAGAGGGAUAUCAGAGCUUCAAAAGAGCUCCUGCAUACAAGGGCUAUUAGUGACAUGCUAAAACUACCUGGACAAAUGAUUUUCAGAGUGUCUGUUUCAAUUAAAACUUGAAGACGAUUUGUAGAUUAAAAAACGGUUCAUUGUUAAGAAAAAAAUGAAAGGUGUACCGCUAUGUUGUUGCACUAUGCACAAGGGAAAUACUUUUUGCUUUCUGCUUCUACUGCAGGGCAUUGAAUAAGUAUGUGGAGGACUUGGACAUCAUUGCUGCACUUAUUACAAGUUGAAGGAUCCCUCCCAGUCAAGAGAUUCGGCUUUCCGACACUCCAGGAGAACGUGGAGCACGGUGAGCCUCUCCCCGCAUCUGCCACAUGUUGGAGGGUCAUUUCCGGGAUUUGCUGGCCAUACAUUUGGAUAUCGGGAUCUGCAACGAGGCCUCUCUUUCUUGUGAAAAGCACACAAGAACUUUUGUUCGGGUUCACUUUAAAUCCAUUUUCGUCUGCCCAUUUAGAUACUUUGUUCAAGCCCUGUUGUACUUGCCUCUCACACACUGCAAGGUUGCAAGAUUUGAAACCUAUUUGUAUAUCAUCUACGUAAACAGAAUAAAAAAUGGCUGGCGGUAAUGAAGCACGGAGGGUGUUCAUUUUCACGAUAAAGAGUGUGCAGCUAAGCACACCUCCUUGAGGUACACCAUUUUCUUGUAUAAAAGGUCGCGACAAUACAUUGCCGACUUUCACGCGGAAGGUACGUUUCGACAGAUAGCUUUCUAUAAUGUUUAGCAUAUUUCCGCGGAUGCCCAUCCCCGACAAGUCUCGUAAGAUCCCGUAUCGCCACGUCGUGUCGUACGCCUUCUCCAUAUCGAGGAAUAUCGAUAAGAAGAACUGUUUAUGUACAAAUGCGUCGCGGAUAUUUGCUUCAAUGCGUACAAGAUGAUCAGUCGUGGACCGCCCU